ACUCAUUGAAAAUCACCCCCAGCCAUGACUAUGUGUGAGAUUUGGUGCCCACAGUAUCCAGGGCCCUACACUCCUUGCCCACUGCUGGUGUGGGACCAUGAAACCCAGGCCCCAACAGGC